AAAGAAGGCUGGGAGAUGCUAGGACCGUUCUUUGCUGAUCGUCCAGAGCUGCACAAGGCAUUUGAGCUGUGCGUGGACCACAGCUUGACGGUGGAGGAGUUUGAAAGGAGCUGGAUGGCCAUGAUUGAAACAUAUCAAGUCCAAGACAACGAGACUCUUGCUAGCCUGUGGGAGAAGCGAAUGUACUGGGUGCCGGCCUACUUCAUGCAGUGCUUCUUCCCGUUUCUGCAGACUAUGCAGCGCAGCGAGGGGUUCAAUGCUGUUUUGAAGCGGUACGUGAGCCCUGGCAACUCAUUGCUAUAGUUUGCCAAGCAGUACACAGCUUUGCAACCAAAAAUACUGGGAUCUGAGCUACAACAAGAAGCGAACACCGUGCUAAAGUAG
rnacentral:rRNA from 1 species